rnacentral:rRNA from 1 species
CUUGCAGCCGAUACGGGCAAGCUAGAGUUUGGUAGGGGAGACUGGAAUUCCUGGUGUAGCGGUGGAAUGCGCAGAUAUCAGGAGGAACACCGAUGGCGAAGGCAGGUCUCUGGGCCAAUACUGACACUGAGGAGCGAAAGCGUGGGGAGCGAACAGGAUUAGAUACCCUGGUAGUCCACGCCGUAAACGGUGGGCGCUAGUUGUGCGAACCUUCCACGGUUUGUGCGACGCAGCUAACGCAUUAAGCGCCCCGCCUGGGGAGUACGAUCGCAAGAUUAAAACUCAAAGGAAUUGACGGGGCCCCGCACAAGCAGCGGAGCAUGCGGCUUAAUUCGACGCAACGCGAAGAACCUUACCAAGGCUUGACAUAUACAGGAAUAUGGCAGAGAUGUCAUAGCCGCAAGGUCUGUAUACAGGUGGUGCAUGGUUGUCGUCAGCUCGUGUCGUGAGAUGUUGGGUUAAGUCCCGCAACGAGCGCAACCCUCGUUCUGUGUUGCCAGCAUUAAGUUGGGGACUCACAGGAGACUGCCGGGGUUAACUCGGAGGAAGGUGGGGAUGACGUCAAAUCAUCAUGCCCCUUAUGUCUUGGGCUGCACGCAUGCUACAAUGGCUGGUACAAACGGCUGCGAUACCGCAAGGUGGAGCGAAUCCGAUAAAGCCAGUC